rnacentral:rRNA from 1 species
GAUGAACGCUGGCGGCGUGCCUAAUACAUGCAAGUCGAGCGAACGGACGAGAAGCUUGCGUCUCUGAUGUUAGCGGGGGACGGGUGAGUAACACGUGGAUAACCUACCUAUAAGACGGGGAUAACUUCGGGAAACCGGAGCUAAUACCGGAUAAUAUUUUGAACCGCAGGGUGCAAAAGUGAAUGACGGUCUGGCUGUCACAUAUAGAUGGAUCCGCGCUGCAUUAGCUAGUUGGUAAGGUAACGGCCUACCAAGGCAACGAUGCAUAGCCGACCUGAGAGGAUGAUCGGCCACACUGGAACUGAGACACGGUCCAGACUCCUACGGGAGGCAGCAGUGGGGAAUCUUCCGCAAUGGGCGAAAGCCUGACGGAGCAACGCCGCGUGAGUGAUGAAGGUCUUCGGAUCGUAAAGCUCUGUUAUUAGGGAAGAACAUAUGUGUAAGUAACUGUGCACAUCUUGACGGUACCUAAUCAGAAAGCCCCGGCUAACUUCGUG